UGUAGACUAAACAACCAGAUUUGAAUUCCAUGUAAACGGCCUCUUUCUGCAGAUGUGCACCGAUGACAAAGGCCGGGGGAGAGGCGGGUCACGGCUCUGCUCGGAACUCAGGUUUCAGUCCAGGCUUCACGAUGGCCAAAGACAGCUCUCAAGAUACUCCAGGCUGACGUUCAGUCUCAUCUUACCCCUUGAACCCGGUUUCUUUUUCCAGUGGGAAAACCUUGCAGAGCCUUCAUGGUCAGGGCUAAGUUGAAGUUCACGUCUUUGUUUAGCGACAGAUCCACGUCACAAGACACGACACCGGCAGAUAUCAAAGCCAGAAGACAAAAAUGAAAUCAUGGUGCCUGACAGUAACACGGGACAUGAUGCCAUUUUAUGAGCUUAGUCUCAGGGCCAUGGAGGUUCAGCUUGAGGAUUUAAGUGAAAAAAGCCACAGGAAUCACUUUUUUUUUUUUUUUUUUUAGUAAGUUGUAAAUAGCACACUCAUCCAUGCGUCUACACUGGGCCGAUGGGGAGGGUGAAUGGCUGCCUGCGUAACCAGGCCCCCACGUGAUGCCGAUGAGCCCUGUGGAGGCCCCAACCUUGCUGCACUUCUUGACAUCCACCAAGUAAAACUGUGAGAUAAGGAAAAACCACAGCAUCACACCCAGUAUCUUGUGAAACUGAAACAGCUGUGGGGCGAACGCUGCCUUACAGUGAUUUGUGAUUUUGAUCAUCACACUGGAUUUCACGGUGUGAUGGCUGACAUGCAUGCCGAGGAGCCCAACGUGCUUUUCCGGGAAACCGACAGCAUUCACAGAUUCCCGAAUGGUCCUUACGCACAAGCGUCAUGCCGGAAUCCCAGCAUCGGCACUCGGCGGUGAGGAUGAUCGAGGAGCGGCCGCCCGCUCUUCCAAAGCCCGAGAGAAGCUGCCAACCUGGAGACCUUGUCUCCCCCCUGCCUGAACGGUGCUCCCCGCCCACAUCCACCUAGAACCUCAGGAUGUGAGCUUACUUGGAAAUAGGGUCUUUGCAGAGGUCAUGAAGGCAAGGAUUGGGGGAAGAUCAUACUGGAGGAGGGCACAUCCUAAAUCCAACAAGAGCACCCCUGGCAGGGACCAGAGAGGACAGAGCAGCCAGAUACGCAGAGAGGGCGAUGGGUGGACAGCGGUGGAGUUCAGGGGAUGUGGUGACAAGCCAAGGAAUGCAGGCAGCCAUCUGAAGCUGGGAGAGGCCUGGGACCCACUCUCCCUCACAGCUGCCAGAAGCACCUGACCCAGCUGACACCCUGAUUUUGGAUUCUGGCCUCCUAAACCGCAAGACAAUAAAUUUCUGUUUGCAAGCCACCCGGUUUGUGGUUAUUUGUUAUGACGGCCCUAGGAAACUACUAUGCUACCUGUGGACAGUUUUUAACAAAAUAUUUGCCAUUUGGGGGCAU